rnacentral:rRNA from 1 species
UAGUACGGCGAGUGAAGCGGGAAGAGCUCAAGCUUAAAAUCUGGGGCGCUUGCGUCUUCAGAAUUGUAGUUGAGAGAAGUGUUUUCACCGGGAAGGGCGAUGGCCUAAGUUGCUUGGAACAGCACGUCAUAGAGGGUGAGAAUCCCGUCUGUGGUUGGUCGCUCCCCCGGAACGAUGCACUUUCAAAGAGUCGGGUUGUUUGGGAAUGCAGCCCAAAAUGGGUGGUAAACUCCAUCUAAAGCUAAAUAUUGCCACGAGACCGAUAGCGAACAAGUACCGUGAGGGAAAGAUGAAAAGCACUUUGAAAAGAGAGUUAAAAGGACGUGAAACCGUUGAAAGGGAAACGCGCUCGGCUAGCAAUGCACGCUUGUGGUUCAGCCGGCUAGUCCUGUGCGUCGUCGUGUGGUGGAUCCGAACGGACCGUCCGCGGCGGCGGCGCUGGGCGAGCUGUGGUGCACUCCAUGGGCAUGCGCGUCAGCGUCGGUUCUGGGCGAG